AUGGCUGUCGUCAGCUCGUGUCGUGAGAUGUUGGGUUAAGUCCCGCAACGAGCGCAACCCUCAUCUUUAGUUGCCAUCAGUUCGGCUGGGCACUCUAGAGAAACUGCCUGGGAUGACCAGGAGGAAGGCGAGGAUGACGUCAAGUCCUCAUGGCCCUUAUGGGCUGGGCUACACACGUGCUACAAUGGCGGUGACAAAGGGACGCAAUAGGGCAACCUGGAGCAAAUCCCUAAAAGCCGUCUCAGUUCGGAUUGUUCUCUGCAACUCGAGAGCAUGAAGUUGGAAUCGCUAGUAAUCGUAGAUCAGCAUGCUACGGUGAAUACGUUCCCGGGCCUUGUACACACCGCCCGUCACACCAUGGGAGUUGGUUUUACCCGAAGACGGUAUCCUAACCUUUUAGGAGGGAGCCGGCCACGGUAGGGUCAGCGACUGGGGUGAAGUCGUAACAAGGUAGCCGUAGGGGAACCUGCGGCUGGAUCACCUCCUUUCUAAGGAAAGUAUAGAAUGUAAACGCCGCCGUCUUUGAAUCUCUUCUUCUUAAACUUGAAAUAAAUAGUUUGCUACAGCUAGAGGCGCGUAGCUCAGUUGGUUAGAGCGCACGACUGAUAAUCGUGAGGUCGGCAGUUCAAAUCUGCCCGUGCCUACCACUGUGUUUAAUGAGUUUAAGAAAUAUUAAUAAGUUGAGAUAAGAAUUGAUGUAAUAUCAAUCUGAUUGAAAUAGUUGGUGAAGAUGAUCCCAAAUAAUAGGGCAAUAUAUCACAAUAUAUUGUCCAGCUUACGGAUUGUACUUAAAAAUUACAUUACAAGAUCAUGUUUUUUUAGAGUAGUAAUGGUUGUCUGACCGGUUACUACUUUCAUGUACGGUCCGAUCAAGCGUCUUGAAGAGCAUUUGGUGGAUGCCUUGGUACAGAGAGGCGAUGAAGGACGUGACACGCUGCGAUAAGCUGUGGGGAGCCGUGAGUAGGCUUUGAUCCGCAGAUUUCCGAAUGGGGAAACCCGG
rnacentral:sRNA from 1 species